rnacentral:ncRNA from 1 species
AUUGGCAAACUCGUUGAAAAGCGAGGACGCAAAGCUAUAGUAUCUAAGUGGAAGACAUUCCAUAUGAAAGACUGGCUGC